rnacentral:rRNA from 1 species
GAUGAACGCUGGCGGCGUGCCUAAUACAUGCAAGUCGAGCGAACAGACGAGGAGCUUGCUCCUCUGACGUUAGCGGCGGACGGGUGAGUAACACGUGGAUAACCUACCUAUAAGACUGGGAUAACUUCGGGAAACCGGAGCUAAUACCGGAUAAUAUAUUGAACCGCAUGGUUCAAUAGUGAAAGACGGUUUUGCUGUCACUUAUAGAUGGAUCCGCGCCGCAUUAGCUAGUUGGUAAGGUAACGGCCUACCAAGGCAACGAUGCGUAGCCGACCUGAUAGGGUGAUCGGCCACACUGGAACUGAGACACGGUCCAGACUCCUACGGGAGGCAGCAGUAGGGAAUCUUCCGCAAUGGGCGAAAGCCUGACGGAGCAACGCCGCGUGAGUGAUGAAGGUCUUCGGAUCGUAAAACUCUGUUAUUAGGGAAGAACAAAUGUGUAAGUAACUAUGCACGUCUUGACGGUACCUAAUCAGAAAGCCACGGCUAACUACGUG